GCCACUUGUUGCAUAAUUAGGCUCAAAGAGAUUGCAAUCACAAUAAGAUCAGGCUAUCUUUUGUGUUAUACUAGGCCUUGAACAAACUCAACAAUGAAGCGCAUCCCAAAACUGAAUGGUGAACUUCUGCUCAUCUCAAUUUCAUGAUACCAUCCUGAUUUGGAACCUACAUGCUGACGCCCACAAUUUUGAUAGCCACAUUCCAAUGAUUUGGAAGACAGAUUGACAAGGUAAGCAUCAACUGAUAAUAAUCAUCCCCGUUAUACAACUAAGGCAAUUGUGACAAUAGUGAUCAUUUCAAAACAUUGAAGAAAUAUUGGUUUUCAGAAAUGUUCCAUCCACUGCACUAUUAUAAAGUUAAAGCAACAAACACACACAAACAAAUAUUAAGAGUUUCCUAA
rnacentral:misc_RNA from 1 species